rnacentral:lncRNA from 1 species
UUUUCCAGGUGCAGACAAGAGGCCCGGUGUGCACCUCAUGACAGGAAGAUGGGUGCCUGAGAGGGACAAUUUAGUAAAAACAGCAGUGCAUUGGGGAAAGGCAAGUUGGGUCCAGGCCCCAGAGCUGAAUUGACCAUCAGCACCCUCCUUAUUCCAUGGCCUCCCAGCAAGGAGCAAUGCUUGGUUGAGCAGCUCAGUCACGAGAAGGGACAUGACAUGAGAGUCAGGUACACAGCCUUUGUGGUGGAUUUCUCACACACGAUCUCCCCAUCUGCUACCUACCUCCAACUUUGUCUUCUGUGUGUAUUCUUUUAACAGAAAUCAUUCAUUUUGAAAAAGGGAAAUCUAUUUAUUUUGGUAAAUUGCUUAAAGAAAAAUUUUUUUCUCAUCCAAAAAUGUGUACAGUAGCCUCUUACAGUUCCCAAUGAGCCUUGCAAUUCUACCUUCAGUGUUGGAUGUGAAGACUCAUGGUGACCAGCAUUGGGAGACCCUGUACGAAAGUGAGGCCAACAGAACUGGGCAGAGUGAGAAGUCGGUGCACCGAGGUGGCCUUCUGGACCUGGGACACUCUUCAAGGUUGUUUCAAACUGAGACCCGAUCACAGGUGGCUGCUUUCAAGCUCCUUUGGUAGAGUGGACUCACAACAGCCCCAGAGCCCAAAAUGUUUCUCAAGCCCUUUACUGAAAAGGUUUGAGGACUUCUGUUGCACACCACUUUGGGAAAAAAAAAUCUGCUUGCCAGCUGAGCAGAGACCCUCAGAGGUAGGAUCCACCUACCAGGCUGUGCACAUCCAAUUAGAAAAGCACAGUUCAGCAGCCGGACCUUAGGGACGCAUCGUAGAGGACGUUUGUACGUAAUACAUCAUAAGUGCAUUUAAACUGCACGGAGGAAUGCGGUCCGGCGUGUGAGCAUGUGACCCGGCCCAGAAAGCAACGCGGUACUUACUGCUUGAGCCUGACAAUGAAACGGGAUUGGUGCCCUUCAAAGAAUUCAUGGUUAUGUUUUCAUGGCUUCUGUCCUCUCUCCCGCCUUGCCUUUCAGUUGCUAGUGACAAUAAUCUAAGCGAAAAUCACCAUCUACCAGAUCACACAACUAUCCUCUGUGGCAGUCCUGAUGAACACAACUUAAGCUGGUAUCUCUAAGAACUUGAUCUAUGUGAAGCAUUGGUCUGUUUUAUAUGUACUUGCUUAAUCCUCAUAAGAACAAAUGGAAGUUGCACUAUUAUCUUCCCUGUUUUACAGAUUUGAAACUGAGGCACAGAAAUGUCAAGGAACUAGCUCAAGAUCACACAGCUGGAAAGUGACAGACCUGAGAUUAAAAUGUAAGCAGACAGGGACCAGAGUCUCCACUAUGCUCCCAAAUAACCUCUCAAUAGAUUGGUGUGUGAAGUACUUUUGAGAGGUAUAUGCAACAUGCACAGGAGUGGCAGCAGAACAUAGACUGUUUAUCUUCUGUUGAAAAAAGAUACAUUUAAAAGUUGAGGUAUUAGAAGAAAAGUUUAAAAAAGACUGGGGCAACCACUGUGAAAAUCAGUGUGGAGAUUGCUGAAAAAAACUAAGAUUAGAGGUUUCAUUUGACCCAGCUAUUUCCCUUCUGGGCAUCUUCCCAAAAGAAUUAAAAGCAUCAUACCACAGCGAUAUAUGUGCACUCAUGUUUAUAGCAGCACGGUUUGUAAUAACUAAAUCUUGGCAACAGCCCAAAUGCCCGUAGACUGAUGAAUGGAUAAAAAAGAUGUGUUUUUUAAAAUAAUGGGGUACUACUCAGCCAUAAAAAAGGAUGAACUCGAGACAUUUCUAGGUAAAUCGAUGCACCUCGAAAGCAUACUCUUAAGUGAAAUAAAUCAGACACAUUUGUAAAUUUUUUUAAUGGUUUUUUUUGAGAUAGGGUCUCACUAUGUAGUUGAGACUGAUCUGGAACUCACUAUGUAGCCCAGGCUGGUCUCGAACUCAUAAUGAUCCUCCUGCCUCAGCCUCCCGAGUGCUGGGAUUACAGGCAUGCGCCACCACUCCCAGCUACAUAUGUGUAAAUAUUGCAUUGUCUCUCUGGUACGAGAAGCUGAAAGUAUAAAUAAGAACGAAAAAGUAGAAUAGAUAUCAUGAAAUAGAAAUUAUUGAAAAUUAUGCUAUGUGAGAUACUUUGUUAAUAAUUUAAAUGUUUUAUGCAGAAAAGGUAU